rnacentral:tRNA from 1 species
UGUCCGAUGGUGUAAUUGGCAACACAACUGAUUCUGGAUCAGUAGAGUCUAGGUUCGAGCCCUAGUCGGACAA